rnacentral:rRNA from 1 species
ACGAACGCUGGCGGCGUGCUUCACCCAUGCAAGUCGCACGGAAAGGCCCUGCUUUUGUGGGGUGCUCGCGUGGCGAACGGGUGAGUAACACGUGAGUAACCUGCCCUUGACUUUGGGAUAACUUCAGGAAACUGGGGCUAAUACCGGAUAGGAGCUCCUGCUGCAUGGUGGGGGUUGGAAAGUUUCGGCGGUUGGGGAUGGACUCGCGGCUUAUCAGCUUGUUGGUGGGGUAGUGGCUUACCAAGGCUUUGACGGGUAGCCGGCCUGAGAGGGUGACCGGCCACAUUGGGACUGAGAUACGGCCCAGACUCCUACGGGAGGCAGCAGUGGGGAAUAUUGCACAAUGGGCGGAAGCCUGAUGCAGCAACGCCGCGUGCGGGAUGACGGCCUUCGGGUUGUAAACCGCUUUCGCCUGUGACGAAGCGUGAGUGACGGUAAUGGGUAAAGAAGCACCGGCUAACUACGUG